GUUUACUAGACUGCUUUGAAAGUUGAUAGGGUGCUUUAGAACCACGAAAGGGCACUGUGAUGCAACAGAUCUCACCAAGGUACUCUUCCAGGUCUGGUACCUUUCCAGGUCUGGGACAACCAACAUGAUGAUUAGAGAAUAGUUGUUGGCUAGCGUGUUAGAGAAUACCGAGACAACAAUGAUGUAUCCCCAGAGAUAACAAAGAAAUUCUUCAGGGUUGUUGAUUCUUUAGAGAUAAGUGACUUGUGAGUCUUCUAUGAGAAAUGGGUAGUUACUUUUGGUUCAAAGAUGCUACCCUUCAGUCACUGAGCUUCAAGAAAAACCCAAAACCCAAGGGAUACUGUCUCACCUGAAGAAGUUGCCAUCUGUUUGUCCGGUUUGUCAGUGGUUCUUCUUACUCCCGAGACUGAACUGCCCAAACCAGAUCAGACAUACUGGGUAUCUAUCGGGGGGAAAUGAAGCUCCACACUGGAAAGGAGAGGUGUCCUAAACUGAGUGGCUUUACUUCUCCUGUCACUACCGCACUGCAAUGCUGAUCCAGAGCCGUCCUUCAGCAUACUGAGGAAGAUACAAACUGACAGCAGGAACAACCUAGCUCUGGAAACCAUUCAGAACUUAAUGUCUGUGAAAAUGAAAAAUCACUCUAUAUGUUAACAUUCUCUUCAUCUCAUGAACUUAUUAGAGAGGGAAAGUCAGCGUGUAAGUUACACUCGUAAGUGAAGACGGCAUAAAUGAU